UAGGGAAUCUUCGGCAAUGGGGGGAACCCUGACCGAGCAACGCCGCGUGAGUGAAGAAGGUUUUCGGAUCGUAAAGCUCUGUUGUUAAGGAAGAACGAGUGUGAGAAUGGAAAGUUCAUGCUGUGACGGUACUUAACCAGAAAGGGACGGCUAACUACGUGCCAGCAGCCGCGGUAAUACGUAGGUCCCGAGCGUUGUCCGGAUUUAUUGGGCGUAAAGCGAGCGCAGGCGGUUAGAAAAGUCUGAAGUGAAAGGCAGUGGCUCAACCAUUGUAGGCUUUGGAAACUGUUUAACUUGAGUGCAGAAGGGGAGAGUGGAAUUCCAUGUGUAGCGGUGAAAUGCGUAGAUAUAUGGAGGAACACCGGUGGCGAAAGCGGCUCUCUGGUCUGUAACUGACGAUGAGGCUCGAAAGCGUGGGGAGCGAACAGG
rnacentral:rRNA from 1 species